UUUCUCAUUUUGGCAGCACAUAUACUAAUAUUGGAAUGAUACAGAGAAGAUUAACAUGGCUCCCGCACAUAUGAAAAGGGUUUAACCAGCCUGAGAAUUUUACUAUUUAU
ensembl:snRNA U6 U6 spliceosomal RNA